rnacentral:rRNA from 1 species
GACGGAGGAUGCAAGUGUUAUCCGGAAUCACUGGGCGUAAAGCGUACGCAGGUGGCUUAUCAAGUCUGUUGUUAAAGCGCAAGGCUUAACCUUGUAAAGGCAAAAGAAACUGAUAGGCUAGAGUGUGGUAGGGGCAGGAGGAAUUCCCGGUGUAGCGGUGAAAUGCGUAGAUAUCGGGAAGAACACCAGCGGCGAAAGCGUCCUGCUAAGCCAUAACUGACACUCAUGUACGAAAGCUAGGGGAGCGAAUGGG